CACGUAGGGGGCAAGCGUUGUCCGGAUUUAUUGGGCGUAAAGAGCUCGUAGGCGGCUCAGUUAGUCGGGUGUGAAACCCCCGGGCUCAACCCGGGGACGCCACCCGAUACUGCUGUGGCUAGAGUCCGGUAGGGGAGCGUGGAAUUCCUGGUGUAGCGGUGAAAUGCGCAGAUAUUGGGAAGAACACCGAUGGCGAAGGCAGCCAUCUGGACCGACACUGACGCUGAGGCGCGAAAGCGUGGGGAGCAAACAGG
rnacentral:rRNA from 1 species